UGCCAGCCGCCGCGGUAAUACGAAGGGUGCUAGCGUUGUUCGGAAUUACUGGGCGUAAAGAGCAUGUAGGCGGAUGAAUUAGUCAGAGGUGAAAGCCCCGAGCUCAACUUGGGAACUGCCUUUGAAACUGACGACCUUGAGUACGGGAGAGGAUGGCGGAAUUCCCAGUGUAGAGGUGAAAUUCGUAGAUAUUGGGAAGAACACCGGUUGCGAAGGCGGCCAUCUGGCCCGUUACUGACGCUGAGGCGCGAAAGCGUGGGGAGCAAACAGGAUUAGAUA
rnacentral:rRNA from 1 species